ACGCUGGCGGCAUGCCUAACACAUGCAAGUCGAACGAAGGCUUCGGCCUUAGUGGCGCACGGGUGCGUACCGCGUGGGAAUCUGCCCCUUGGUUCGGAAUAACAGUUGGAAACGACUGCUAAUACCGGAUGAUGACGUAAGUCCAAAGAUUUAUCGCCGAGGGAUGAGCCCGCGUAGGAUUAGGUAGUUGGUGUGGUAAAGGCGCACCAAGCCGACGAUCCUUAGCUGGUCUGAGAGGAUGAUCAGCCACACUGGGACUGAGACACGGCCCAGACUCCUACGGGAGGCAGCAGUGGGGAAUAUUGGACAAUGGGCGAAAGCCUGAUCCAGCAAUGCCGCGUGAGUGAUGAAGCCCUUAGGGUUGUAAAGCUCUUUUACCCGGGAUGAUAAUGACAGUACCGGGAGAAUAAGCUCCGGCUAACUCCGUGCCAGCAGCCGCGGUAAUACGGAGGGAGCUAGCGUUAUUCGGAAUUACUGGGCGUAAAGCGCACGUAGGCGGCUUUCUAAGUAAGAGGUGAAAGCCCAGAGCUCAACUCUGGAAUUGCCUUUUAGACUGCAUCGCUUGAAUCAUGGAGAGGUCAGUGGAAUUCCGAGUGUAGAGGUGAAAUUCGUAGAUAUUCGGAAGAACACCAGUGGCGAAGGCGGCUGACUGGACAUGUAUUGACGCUGAGGUGCGAAAGCGUGGGGAGCAAAC
rnacentral:rRNA from 1 species